rnacentral:rRNA from 1 species
GAUGAACGCUGGCGGCGUGCCUAAUACAUGCAAGUCGAGCGAACAGACGAGGAGCUUGCUCCUCUGACGUUAGCGGCGGACGGGUGAGUAACACGUGUAUAACCUACCUAUAAGACUGGGAUAACUUCGGGAAACCGGAGCUAAUACCGGAUAAUAUAUUGAACCGCAUGGUUCAAUAGUGAAAGACGGUUUUGCUGUCACUUAUAGAUGGCUCCGCGCCGCAUUAGCUAGUUGGUAAGGUCACGGCUUACCAAGGCAACGAUGCGUAGCCGACCUGAGAGCGGGAUCGGCCACACUGGAACUGAGACACGGUCCAGACCCCUACGGGAGGCAGCAGUAGGGAAUCUUCCGCAAUGGGCGAAAGCCUGACGGCGCAACGCCGCGUGAGUGAUGAAGAUCUUCGGAUCGUAAAACUCUGUUAUUAGGGAAGAACAAAUGUGUAAGUAACUAUGCACGUCUUGACGGUACCAAAUCAGAAAGCCACGGCUAACUACGU